GACGAACGCUGGCGGCGUGCUUAACACAUGCAAGUCGAACGGAAAGGCCCUGCUUUUGUGGGGUGCUCGAGUGGCGAACGGGUGAGUAACACGUGAGUAACCUGCCCUUGACUUUGGGAUAACUUCAGGAAACUGGGGCUAAUACCGGAUAGGAGCUCCUGCUGCAUGGUGGGGGUUGGAAAGUUUCGGCGGUUGGGGAUGGACUCGCGGCUUAUCAGCUUGUUGGUGGGGUAGUGGCUUACCAAGGCUUUGAUGGGUAGCCGGCCUGGGAGGGUGACCGGCCACAUUGGGACUGAGAUACGGCCCAGACUCCUACGGGAGGCAGCAGUGGGGAAUAUUGCACAAUGGGCGGAAGCCUGAUGCAGCAACGCCGCGUGCGGGAUGACGGCCUUCGGGUUGUAAACCGCUUUCGCCUGUGACGAAGCGUGAGUGACGGUAAUGGGUAAAGAAGCACCGGCUAACUACGUG
rnacentral:rRNA from 1 species